rnacentral:rRNA from 1 species
UACGGAGGGUGCAAGCGUUGUCCGGAAUCACUGGGCGUAAAGGGUGCGUAGGUGGUGAGGUAAGUCGGAUGUGAAAUCUCCGAGCUCAACUCGGAAAUGGCAUUGGAAACUACCUUGCUUGAGGGUUGGAGGGGGGACUGGAAUACUUGGUGUAGCAGUGAAAUGCGUAGAUAUCAAGUGGAACACCAGUGGCGAAGGCGAGUCCCUGGACAACUCCUGACACUGAGGCACGAAAGCUAGGGGAGCAAACAGG